AAAUGAACUUUCAGGGUGAGCAACAC
rnacentral:piRNA from 1 species